rnacentral:rRNA from 1 species
ACGAACGCUGGCGGCGUGCCUAAUACAUGCAAGUCGAGCGAAUCAAUAGGAGCUUGUUCCUGUUGGUUAGCGGCGGACGGGUGAGUAACACGUGGGCAACCUGCCUGUAAGACUGGGAUAACACCGGGAAACCGGUGCUAAUACCGGAUAAUCCUUUUCCUUUCAUGAGGAAAAGCUGAAAGUCGGUUUCGGCUGACACUUACAGAUGGGCCCGCGGCGCAUUAGCUAGUUGGUGAGGUAACGGCUCACCAAGGCGACGAUGCGUAGCCG